ACCUUGUCUAUUCAGAGACUCCUAACCAAAACCCUAGAAGCUGCCUCAUUUCCCCACCAUCUCAGGCCGGAGCCGCCGCCUCCAAACAACCCAAAAUCACACCUCUGAACCCUCUCAUCCUCCUCUAUCCAAAUCUCAACACGGGUCCCAUCAAAUCCAUCUCAAUCUCAUCAAAUCUUGAAUCAAAAUAUGAGAUCUACAAUUUGAAGAUCAUAAAAUCGGUAGAUUUAGUAAUGAUUGAGGCCGAAAUUGACCUUGUUCAUGUGUUUUCAUCUGAGGAUACAUGAUUAAGACCCCUUUUGGUCAAAAUGAAAAUAUCGAAGAAUGACUUCAAGGUUUGGCCAUGCCGGUUUAGGUAUUUUCACUUGUUUCUGUUGUUUAUUUUCUUGUCCUUAUUCAUCUCUUUUCUGUUUCUUCUUCUCUUUUUCCUCAUCAUGUGUUCGUUUCAAUUUUUGGGUUUUGGGCUUUGUCUUAAGGCUUUCGAGUUUUCUUUUGGGAAAUUUUGGGUCAGUCCUUAGAAUGGUGAAUCUCUGAUUGAUUUGAAUUGGGUUCUGAAAAAUCAAAAGCCCAAGAGGGGGUUUAAUUGGGAUUUACAUGCCUAUGAGACUUUGAAUUGGGUUAAUUUUAAUCCAUAUGGUCUGGUUUUAGGAGUAAAUAACAGAGGUUUAAAAGGGUAAUUUAGGGAAAAUGACCUAGGAAUAUGGUUAUAAGAGACUAGGGAAGUUUAUAGGAAGAUGGGAUGGGGUUUAAUUUGAAAGUUUAAUUUCUAAUCUAAGGGUAUUGGAGCUAAAAUAAGAAAGAUCAAAAGGUGCAAAGUGCAAAUCUAAUUUCUUUAAGGCUGCCCUAAUAGCUUACCUAUAAAGGCAGCAUUACUUGAUAUUCAAGUCAGAUUUUGGAGAUAAAAAUUCUAGAAGAAUUAAAAACGGCCGAGUCUUUCAAAACACUAAAAUCUAUUUGGCAUUUCUAUUGAAAAUUCAUCUAGUCUUCUUUAAGGAUUUCUGGGGGUACUUUUGGGUCAAAAACUGCUGUUCAACUCUGUUUGAUUACUGGUUUAUUGAAUCAAGUCUGCUGCUGCUGUUGCUGCUUCUGCUUCUCCUUAAAUUUCAAUUUCUCAUUUUGUAUUGUGGUAAUUAGGUUACUCUUGAGCUCUACAGAAUGUGAAUUCAGAUUCGAAACAUGAAAUGAAAGAAUGAAAUUUAUAGCAUAGCUUCAACUAAUUUUGUAAUUCAAUUUUAUGAUAUUAUGUUCUGAUUCAUUUUGUCUCCUAGCUGAUUUCUGGCUUAUGAUAACUAAUGUUCACCAUUGUAUGUGAUUUGAGGAUUGUUUAAUAUUACUAUAGUAGAAAGGUUUAGUUGAGUUAUGGAUGUUAGAAUUGUGUUUAAGUUCUCUUGGAAACAAUGAAUAAGUGCUUGCCUGCAUUUUAUUUAGGUUGUGAUGAGUUAGUAUUCUUUUUCUGUAAGUAUGCCAUUCUUAGGUUGUUUUGCUCAAGGGAACUGAGAUACUGUCCUCAUGACUGAGAUGUGAAAUCAGUAUAGUUGUUAACUCUAGCAAAAUUUGAAUCUGCUUGAUCCAUGUGAAUCUGUUGAGAAUCAAUGCUUUGGUAUUUUUUGGUAGUUCUGGUUUGAGUUCUGCUGAAGAUUAGUUCUGCUUUAGCAGUGAUUUCCAUUUAAGUCUAUUAAAGUGCUGAAUAAUGGCUUGUAAACUUAUGCUGAUUUACCUGUGUAAUGCUUAGUAAAUAUACUUAGUUUGAGAAUAAGGUUCAGAUUCUUAGUGUUUAUCGGGUUAGUCCGCAGGAUUUUCAUUUGUUAGUCACACAUCUUGAUCAAAGUUUUAAAUAGCUUGGAAUUGUCUUUUAAAACUAGUUUAAAAACUGAGUCAAGCAUGAUUACCAAACUUAAUUUUGAGUUUUCAAAAUCUUUAUCUAUUCGGUCCCUCACGAAACAGUUAAAUCUGGAAGCUACAUGGUAGUUUAUGUGCAUAUUUCAUGGGUCUCAGUUGAUUGGCAUAUAGUGAAUUUGGGCAAUUGUUUAAAGGGGUGUUAUGGUUUUAUAGUGUUUCGAAUAGAACCUUUCCUGUUUCACUUUGAUUAAAAUCGACACGGGAUUAGUUUUUUAAUUCCAAACUCACAUGUAUGCUGUUUUGUGCCACUGCAGGAACUCGAUCCCGAGUCCCAGCUUUGCGGUUGUACUAUGCUUUCAAGUUUGGCCUCCUGUUGGGGCUUAGUUUAAGCCAUUGAAAAAUCAGAAAUUCAGUAGCUUUGCAAUUCUGAUAAGUUAUUUGGCUUUAAUUCAGGCACAGGCUUGGAAAUAGACCAAAUUUCGUUUCUUGGUAGCCCUUUGCUUAAAUGUGAUAAGUCCAAGUUUAGUUUAGAUUGGUUAUAAUUCCUUUAAAUCUUGCUUAAUUAAUUAGUUGGUUUUCUCAAAAAAGAUAGAUUUGAGGUGUGCUGUAUUAAGUAAGACAUAGUUAUGGCCCUCAAAGUUUAGCUUGAAUUUCCUUUAAAGAUUAGAAUCUAUGCGUGCCGUGCCAUAUAAAUCUUAAAAUGCAUGACCCUUAUUUAAUUAAUUUUAAUCCUUAGAAAUCUAGGCGCACCAUUUAGCGAAUUUUCUAUGGCCCUCGCAAAUUAAAAAAUGCGUAGUUGCUUUAGGCGCGUAAUUUAAAUCACCUCGCAAAUUGAGGUUGUUUUUCUACCAUGCAUUCG
rnacentral:lncRNA from 1 species